rnacentral:rRNA from 1 species
GACGAACGCGGCGGCGUGCUUAACACAUGCAAGUCGAACGAUGAAGCCUAGCUGCUAGGUGGAUUAGUGGCGAACGGGUGAGUAAUACGUGAGUGACCUACCUUUGACUCUGGGAUAAGCCUGGGAAACUGGGUCUAAUACCGGAUACGACCAAUCUCCGCAUGGGGUGUUGGUGGAAAGCGUUAUGGAGUGGUUUUAGAUGGGCUCACGGCCUAUCAGCUUGUUGGUGAGGUAAUGGCUUACCAAGGCGACGACGGGUAGCCGGCCUGAGAGGGUGACCGGCCACACUGGGACUGAGACACGGCCCAGACUCCUACGGGAGGCAGCAGUGGGGAAUAUUGCACAAUGGGCGCAAGCCUGAUGCAGCGACGCCGCGUGAGGGAUGACGGCCUUCGGGUUGUAAACCUCUGUUAGCAUCGAAGAAGCGAAAGUGACGGUAGGUGCAGAGAAAGCGCCGGCUAACUACGUGCCAGCAGCCGCGGUAAUACGUAGGGCGCGAGCGUUGUCCGGAAUUAUUGGGCGUAAAGAGCUUGUAGGCGGUUGGUCGCGUCUGCUGUGAAAGGCUGGGGCUUAACCCUGGUUUUGCAGUGGGUACGGGCUAACUAGAGUGCAGUAGGGGAGACUGGAAUUCCUGGUGUAGCGGUGGAAUGCGCAGAUAUCAGGAGGAACACCGAUGGCGAAGGCAGGUCUCUGGGCUGUAACUGACGCUGAGAAGCGAAAGCAUGGGGAGCGAACAGG